rnacentral:rRNA from 1 species
UACAGAGGUCUCAAGCGUUGUUCGGAUUCAUUGGGCGUAAAGGGUGCGUAGGCGGCGCGGUAAGUCGGGUGUGAAAUCUCGGAGCUUAACUCCGAAACUGCAUUCGAUACUGCCGUGCUUGAGGACUGGAGAGGAGACUGGAAUUUACGGUGUAGCGGUGGAAUGCGUAGAUAUCGUAAGGAAGACCAGUGGCGAAGGCGGGUCUCUGGACAGUUCCUGACGCUGAGGCGCGAAAGCUAGGGGAGCGAACGGG